rnacentral:lncRNA from 1 species
UUUCCUUUUAAGUUUUUAACAUUUAAUGAUUAAAUGUUAAUCAUUUUUGAGAGUUGGAUGGAACUAUUUUUUAAAAAUAAUUUGUGGGAGAUUUUUAUCUUCUCAGCAGAAUUUAAAGACAGACUUAUAUACACCCUUAUCACUAAGGUCCAUGGAAUCUAAAUUUGUACUUCAAACUUAGAUCUCUGUCCUUCAAGUUGAAGUUCUAGUUCUGACUGUGCUCCUGAUAAUUUAGAUUUUUUUUUUUUAAUUUCAUUCUCUAAUGGUAGUAUUGCAACUUUUAUUUGGGGUUGAAUCUCAAAAAUUAUUACAUGAAUAUGAAGCAGUUCUUGUUCUGUUUCUUGGUAUACACAUCAUCAGGGGUUUUGAGAAAACUGCUCCUACAAUAAUUCUCAGAGCUGUUUUCUCAAAGGCAAAAGUGUGGCUUCAAAACUCACAGGGCUUUGGUUUGUCAGGUGCGACUUGUCAGAUUUCAUGGCACAUCAAAUAAUUGAAGAAUCCUGCCUCUCUAAUUAAAAACCUGAAACAGGGCAAACAAAGAAUUUGGUAGAUUGUUUCAGAUACCUAGAAAUGCAAGUCUCUUCAUGGUUAACCACAGAUUGUUUACAUAAUGCAAAUUGUUUGUCAAGCUCAAGGUAACACAGUUAUUUGAAUAGAUUAUUAGGUCAGUUAUCUAGUAGCCAAGAGUUAGAUGCAUGUUCAAGUUAUAAUGAAUUUUUUAUUUUUAGUUGGUACCAUUUUUCUCUAAAUAUUCAGAAAUACAAAUUGUGCAUUUUAUUAAUAGGAAUGAAAGCUCAUGCUGGAAGAUUUGCAUAGGGUGGAUGUAUAUAUUUUAUAAAAUCAAGUUGUAAAAUAUGUAAAGCUAUUGCUUUUUAAAUAGAAUAUAAAUGUUGACAGAUAAAUC